UACGAAGGGGGCUAGCGUUGCUCGGAAUCACUGGGCGUAAAGGGUGCGUAGGCGGGUCUUUAAGUCAGGGGUGAAAUCCUGGAGCUCAACUCCAGAACUGCCUUUGAUACUGAAGAUCCUGAGUCCGGGAGAGGUGAGUGGAACUGCGAGUGUAGAGGUGAAAUUCGUAGAUAUUCGCAAGAACACCAGUGGCGAAGGCGGCUCACUGGUCCGGUACUGACGCUGAGGUGCGAAAGCGUGGGGAGCAAACAGG
rnacentral:rRNA from 1 species